GUGUCUGCAGUAGAACGUGUUUGCUAUCUUCAAAGAGAAUUAGUAUUCAAUAUUGGUUGGAUCAGCUUCCAAUGGAUCAAUACAGCAUGAUGGAUACAUCAAAGGCCUUUGCCACAAAAACAGCCAUAGUGUCGAUGAACUGUGCAUUGUUAACCGCACUAUUCCAGGCCCGGCAUCAACAGCCUAAAUUCCAACACUUCAAAACUACUUUUAUUGGCUCCAAUGUGCUUUAGGAAAUCCUGACUGUGAAAGACACUAUAUAAAUGUGGAGCUCAGAUUUGAAGAGGACACCAGCUAUUCUGAAAUUUAAAUAAAUCCAUAACCAAGCCUGUUAUUUCUGCUCAUGCAUAUUCAUCACAUUAUUAAAAUAUAUCAUUUCUUUUCCCUCUGGUGCCCUUCUGAUCCUGUGGAGUUGACAGCAGCU